AAUAUUCAUUACAAAUUGUACACUACAACAAGUUGGAGCUGCAAUAUUUGAAAAUAUUUUGCUAAAAAUUCACAUUUUCUAUCGAAUCGGUAAAGAUAAAUUAUCGGAAUGAUUCGUUUGCCCUUCCCGGAUAAUGAGGAUGAGGCGAAGCGUCGCAUUGCCGAUGUGCGGAACACAUUCAUUCUGUUUGGAGUCAUGGUUAUUAUCAUACGUUUGAUGCCGCCCGUGCUGCGUUUCAUAAAUAUUCAUUAAAUGCCGCCCGCCGUUCAGCCUUAAGUGUUCACCAUCAAAAUUCUUGUGAAUGAAGGAGGGACCUGAUGCAUAUGCUGCUAAUCACGCUGGCCAGUUUGACAAUGAUCACUUAUAACAGAUAUAGACGCAUGUGUAUAUAUAUAUAUAUCUAUGAAUACAGGGAGAUUGUCGAUGCGCUUGACGGCUUGCCGCGAUGGCCAAGGGAAUUCCCUGACGUGCGGAAUCCUUGAAGAUGUCAUUGACUGGCAAUUGUUCUUCAUUCUUUGUCCUCAUCGGCUGCGAGGGUCGCUCAAGAAACUUAGCCGCUCUGCGCAUUGGCAUGCUCUUGGUACAGAUCGAAUGUGUUUCACACAGAUGCAAUGUAAUGAUUUCAUAUUGGAAUUAUUGUUGCCCAAGACUUCAUUUA